CGCCUCGGUGCCGGAAGCGAACGGCCCACUCGCCCCGCCUCUUCCGCUUUUCGCCCCUACACUUCCCGCAACGCAACACAGUGGAACCUAACGUACCUCAACUGCCGCAAAGAAGGGGCGCUACAGUUUGGGGCCGAGAAAAAGUUUGCUGACCCCUGGACUAGAGCAACACCUUCAUUUUAUAUGCGAGGAAAAUGAGGCCCAGGGAGGUGAACAAAAGAUCCCGCAUGGUAAUAUGCGGGUUUUUAUUCCAAACCCAGCAGCCCCAUGAUAAUGGCCAAAGAUGAAAAAGCAGAUACUGGAAUUACUUCCAUGCAGAUCUGGAUAUGAGAUACCAAUAAGUGGAAUUGCUGGGAUAUAUGG